UACGUAGGGGGCAAGCGUUGUCCGGAUUUAUUGGGCGUAAAGAGCUCGUAGGCGGUUUGGUAAGUCAGGUGUGAAAUCUCCACGCUCAACGUGGAGGGGCCACCUGAUACUGCCAUGACUGGAGUCCGGUAGAGGAGUGUGGAAUUCCCGGUGUAGUGGUGAAAUGCGUAGAUAUCGGGAGGAACACCAGUGGCGAAGGCGACUACCUGGCCUGUUCUUGACGCUGAGGCGCGAAAGCUAGGGGAGCAAACGGGG
rnacentral:rRNA from 1 species